CGGGAGAAUCCUGCAAAGGUUGGAGGGGGAGGUCUGUUCCCGUGAUCUCCCGAAUCUUUGUAUUAAUCAUCUGCCAAAAUGGAGCUAUGUGUGGGCAGGACCACCAAAUGUGCAGGUUCAUACCAGGUUCCGCUCCACACCGCCAGCACUCGCCCGUGUCAGCCUGUGUCAUGUGCCUAAGAGUGUCAGGUGUACGGUACCAACGUGUAAAAAGUUUAUAACUAGUUUCUUGGAAUUUGGAGCUUAUGGAGCACUUAUGGGUCAGAAGGAAGAUUUUAUCCCACUCUUUGUCUGUCAACUGGGUUCCGGUCUCCUGUUCCCAUUUACUGGUGAAGCCUAAGGGACCAGGAUCUGCCGUCGUCAUGAGGGCUCCAUACAUGCGCGAAAUACCGUGUUCUAUAUGUUUCCUGUCUUUGCUCAUUUGUUCAAACUCC